rnacentral:rRNA from 1 species
UACGGAGGGUGCAAGCGUUAAUCGGAAUUACUGGGCGUAAAGCGCACGCAGGCGGUUUGUUAAGUCCGAUGUGAAAUCCCCGCGCUUAACGUGGGAACUGCAUUUGAAACUGGCAAGCUAGAGUCUUGUAGAGGGGGGUAGAAUUCCAGGUGUAGCGGUGAAAUGCGUAGAGAUCUGGAGGAAUACCGGUGGCGAAGGCGGCCCCCUGGACAAAGACUGACGCUCAGGUGCGAAAGCGUGGGGAGCAAACAGG